UUCUGCGUCAAAGUGAAACAUAACCGUAAAAUAUGCGACAAGAACAUAACCUACACCGUGUAUAUUUCAAAUUUACACUGUGUUCGUACGGUUUAUACGAAACAAUAAUUCAGAGCGAUGAGCGGAGGUGUUGCUCCGAGUAAAUCAACGGUUUACGUUUCUAACUUGCCCUUUUCUCUGACUAAUAAUGACAUACACAAGCUUCUCGAAACGUACGGAAAGAUCGUCAAAGUUACUGUGUUGAAAGACAAGAUGACUAGACGCAGCAAGGGUGUUGCAUUCGUCUUAUUUCUCACACGUGAAGAUGCCAUUACUUGUGCAAAGACUUUAAAUAAUACUGAGAAAAUUUUCUAUUCACAGAUUGGCGGCCGUACUGUGAAAAGCUCCAUAGCCGUGGAUAAUGGACGCAGUACUGAAUUCAUUCGACGAAAGGAUUAUCCAGACAAAUCUCAGUGUUACGAGUGUGGUGAAGAAGGGCAUCUGUCGUACCAAUGCUCUCAAAAUACUUUGGGCCCUAGAGAACCUCCACCAAAAAAAAUCAGAAUUAGAAAAAAAAAUAAAGAUCAAGCAAAAGGCGAUACCUCAUAUUAUGAUAGUGACAGUGACGAAGGCUUGAGACAACCAGGUGGUGUUGGGGACUCUGAGACAAUAUAUGACAAUGCAGUGGCUGAAUCAGAUUUAGAAACUUUGAGUGCUGCUAUACAUCACGAGCAAGAACAAGAGGAACUUGCAAAGUAUAGGUUCCAAGUUGCAACUGGCCAGUACGAAGAGCCAAGACAGGAAUCUUCGAAACCUAAAAAACGUUUUAAAAAAAAUAAUUACUUUAGUGAUGAAGAGGAACUAAGUGAUUGAGAAUAAUUGAGAUUUGUUUCAAAAUGGAUAUUCCUUACAUAUUUUAUUUUGAAAACGAAUACGAGCACCGCUUGCCUCGUCUCAUCUCGAAUGUUGCUUUUGGGUGACCAUUGCCUUUAAAACUUUCAUACUGUAACCAGUAAGUAAUUGUUAAAUCAUAAUAAGAAAUAUUAUGCGCAUGCCAACAUUUUUUAAA